UACACAAGUGCUUUUAACAGUUUGACCCAGACUCUGUCUACACAGCUCUAAAACCACCCAGCGACCUUGUCCAGAGUCAAAGAAUCAACUAUCUGCCUCACUAGUAAUUCUGUCCUCAGGACUGUUUUAUGGGGAUCCCACUGAAAAUGAUGGCAGACAUUUUGGGGCAAGAUAGGACUUUGGGGCUGCUCCACCACUUCUGCUUGGUGUAGUGGAAAGAGCGCUGGACCCAGGCAGACGUAAGUUCAAAUCCCGGCAAUGACCACCCACCAGCUGUCCAACCACAGACGAUGUGCUCCCAUUCUUCCAGUGUCCUUUUUUGUACCUGGAAGAUGGGGAAUCAUUUCUACUACCCGUAAGAUGAGGCCAUGAACAACAAGGAAAGACUGAAAAAGUGUCACAGACCAGCAGCUACGGAGACUUGAUGAUCAAACGUUAUGUGGAUCGUGGACGGGAUUCUGGAACAGAAAAAGAAAGGGUAUUACUGAAAUCUAAAUAAAGUCUGGAGGUGCAAAAUGAAGGAGCUGCCUUUCCUAAGCAUCUCUUCCCCAGGCUAGUAUUCCAGGCUCUAUGUGUGCAACAGUCACCCCUAAAAGUGAAAUCCAUUCGCCCAGCCUGGAAAUGUGGUCACUUUAUAGAAAAUCUUUAGCUUGUACCAGCACAAAUGGACGGGUCUUAUUUCCUGUCUACAGUUCAUGGUGUUGCAAAGGCAUUGCCAAAAACUAUUGACUGAGACAUAAAAGCAAGAAAUGGAUGGAAAUGAACGUGGGCACGUUCGCGUGUACAUUUACAAACACACAGAGCCGAACAUGAUCAAGUCUACACUUAAAGGAAGAGAUUCCCUGAAGGGACGUCCUAAUUCAUAACUCAGCCCCCUACCCUGCCCAUGUUCAGAAUCUAUCUCACGCUCUGCGGGAGGGAGAAGAGGGUAGGACCAGGCAAUGUGGUUUAGAUACUGGGGAAGGAACUCGGUCCCCGGUAAGUCUCCCUGAUCCCUGUGCCAUGAUGCUGGAAAUAACACCCUUAACGAUCCAUCCAUCUUGUAAUUUCAGAAGUAGAGAAAAACAUUCAGAAUCCUCUGCGAUUCU